CGUUUUCGUGUGGAGCUUCUUUUCUCUCUUCGUCGAGCUUCUUUUUACUCUAACAAAUUUUCCCCUUUACUCUAAAAUUUAAAUUUACGCCUAAGUUUCACUUCGGUUUUUCGUCCAGUUUCACUUCUGAUUUUUCGCCCAAGUUUCACUUCUGAUUUUUGUUUUAUUUUGUUCGGUUUAGCUUUUCUGCGUUUUGGAAUAAAACGAGAUUGGCCAAAAAUCCUUUAUCUGUUCGGGAAGACCGUCUCUUACUCUCUUCUUCCUUCUUGCUAUUCUUUUCUUUCGUUCAAGAAAACCGCAAACCCUAAAUCAAGGAAAAGGGAAUUUUUGGGUGCGGCGAGGUAGUGAGUGAAAUUAAUGCUAAAAGGAAAAACGAAAAAGCGAUUGAAUGAGAUUAAAGGAGGAUUCUAGGGUUCGAGAAUUCCUAUUUGGGGAGUGAGGAGUGGAUGGCGAUAAUAGGGAGGAGAGUUUUGGUUUUAAAAGUGGUGGCACGGGGUUACGGAGAGGGAACCAGUGAGUAUCGUGAUGUCAACCAUUAGGGUUCUAUUUGAGGAUCAGAAGGGGUUUUAUUUAAGGACUGUGAGGAGUGAGUUGCGAGCACAGAAAGAGAUUGCUUUACGAAGUCAGAGGGAGAACUAGGUAAUGGAGAACGAGGAGUGCAUAGUGACCUGAAAGUUAACGAUGAAUUGGAAUUAACCAGAAAGUUAUAUAUUGUUGAUGCACGACCAAGAAAAACUGCAUUGGCUAAUAGAGCCAUGGGAGGUGGUUCAGAAUCAUCAUCAAACUAUUUUCAAUCCGAGGUAGUCUUGUUGGGGAUAGACAACAUCCAUGCGAUGAGAGACAGAUUUGUUCAGCUUUGAGAAUACAUGGACACUCAUGGCAAAGCAUCAUCAGAUGGAAUGUCCUCUUUCUUGUUUAUGCAGAUCAUCGUGAGAAUGGGCAGUUUAUAUCAAUAAUUUCAGACGGUCUAAAGGUUCUAGAUCUUUGCUGCUAUAGUGGUGGUUUUUCUCUAAAUGUCGUGCGUGGAAGUGCUUUAAAUGUCACUGUGUCCAAGACAACCCAACGACAAUGAUUGUGGGUAUUACGUGUGUCAAUAUAUGAAGGAAAUUAUCAUAUACUAUGAAGGAGGAACAAUUACAACUGAUUACUUUUUUAGUUGCAGAUGUCAACAAUAUCGUGAAAGUCAAAUCAUUGAAGUUAGGAAAAAUUGGUAUUUAGAUGUAAUUAGUACAUGCUUAUAGAUUAUGUUAGGGUGAUGUACAUGUUUAUAAGUACUGAUAUAAGUACUGAUAUGAUAUAUAUUUUAUGAUUGUAUGUAUUAGGUUUAAUACCUAUUUUGAU